rnacentral:rRNA from 1 species
UACGUAGGGUGCGAGCGUUAAUCGGAAUUACUGGGCGUAAAGCGUGCGCAGGUGGUUUCUUAAGUCUGAUGUGAAAGCCCACGGCUCAACCGUGGAGGGUCAUUGGAAACUGGGAGACUUGAGUGCAGAAGAGGAAAGUGGAAUUCCAUGUGUAGCGGUGAAAUGCGUAGAGAUAUGGAGGAACACCAGUGGCGAAGGCGACUUUCUGGUCUGUAACUGACACUGAGGCGCGAAAGCGUGGGGAGCAAACAGG